GCAAUGUGGCUUGCUGUUGGGCAAACCCUCCUAGGGUCGUGAUUCACCCAUUGGAAGAGUUGCACGGUUGCGUCAAAGGAAAGCCACUGACUACCACCAUGACUGCUCCUGGGUAACGCACGCCUGGGAGUAACCGUUUUUUCCUAAGGCAAAACCUCAGUUGACUAGGUUGGUGCCAGUUUGGCACUUUGAAUAAACUAAGCGGACUUUGGGUUG